AGAGAAGUUACCUCCUCAUCUCAGAGUGAAGAGAAAGACCAUGUUGAUAAGAGUGUCCAAAUGGCCUUAAUUUUCUUCAUAAUUCAGGAGGCAAUGUUCUCUGCUAAGAUCAUUAUUUGAAUUGAGUGCUUUACUUGCAAUCUGUGGCUAUUCAAAUUGAAGCAAAAGAGCCUACCAGUCUUUCUUCAUAAUGUGAGAGGAAUUGGUUGACUGCAUAAAUUGAAGUAAACUAAAAAAUUACAAACAUUUUUUAUUAUCCC